GAUCAGCCUGGAACAGCCCUCUUCAAUCUGAAUUUUUUUCUCCAAAAAUUCAGCCUGCUGAAUCUGAACGAAGCCUGGAUCACGAUCAACUCUUGAUCUCUUUUUUUGAUCUUCUUCCUCUCCUAUUCUCUAACCUUUCUCCUUGCUUUGUGCUGCUACAAAACACUAGCAACCAAAUAGGGGAUGCCUAACAACUUGCUCAUCGAGGAGAACUUGGGACGUCUCAUGUAUGGGGUGUGUGGGAC
rnacentral:lncRNA from 1 species